AAGCAAUGUAACAUUUAUCUUUCAAUAAAAUUUUAAAACAAAAACUUAUAAUAAAGCAUCUUAUAAUAAAAAAAUAUCAGUUCCCAACAUAUCAGUGCUACAUGUUAUGAACUUUUUAUUAUAUUUUGAAGUGAUAGAAAAGUUGGCUCAUCGUGUGUUACAAACAAUGCUAAAUGUAAUGUUAUAAAUAAAAAUAAAUGUUAAAUAUACACACACAUAUAUAUAUAUAUAUAUAUAUUGUAUGUGUAGGACGUAAAUGGAAUAAGAAUUUUGUUUCAUUGGAAGAAUUAUUUUCUUAAAUAAAAAAACUUUUUGUUUUCGUUCUUUCUGUUUGAUAGAACUUUUUAUUAAUAACCAAAAUAAAAUUAUACACUUUAUACAUUAAAAAUAUGUGUUAAAAAAAAAAAAGAAUUUCCCUCUUCCAUUGUUUAAAUUAUUUAGUACGUUAAUAGUUAAUUUUUUGUUUUUUUCCGAAAUUCGUUCAUAUAUCUACAUAAUACAUAUACGUAUUUGAAACAUAAAAAUAGCUUAUAUACAUUUAUGUGUUGUUAAUAAAAGAGCAAUGAAAAAAGCACUAUGUUUAUGCGGAAAUAUAUCAUCCUCACUUAAUGGAAACGUUGUAGAACCAGUGACUACAACAGUUAAUGCACCUAACGGACCAAUACAUUUACCUGCUGACACGAAGUUAAAAUUGGGGUUGAGGAAAUAUAAAUACAACAUUCCCGAUGAUAAUAAGGAUAAUGAUCUAAAAAGAGAAAUAAACAAAGACGCAGAGGAAUUAGAAAAUACGAUGGUAUAUAAUUAAUAUUUUGAAAAAUUAUAUAUACAUGUAUACAUAGAAAUAUAUAUAUGUAUAUAAAUAUGUGUAUAUAUAAAUAUGUGUNNNNNNNNNNAAAAACACAAAAACUAAUGUUAAACAAAAUAUAUUAAUUUUGUCUUUUUUCAUAUAAUUUAAUAUUUCACUUUUUUUUUUCCUCCUCAAAUGUUCUUAUUAUAUCGACAUAUAUGUAUAUAUGUAUAUAUUUAUUGGA
rnacentral:lncRNA from 1 species